AGUUUUUCAUCGUUCUCGUUGAUUUGAAGAUCGAAAAUGAAGAUUUUAGCUACGAUAUUUGUUAUUUUUGUAUGUUUCCUAGUUUGCGUUAAUUCACUCUUUGAUAUGCGCUGCUUUAAGAGACCGAGCCCAAAUAACAAAAGAUGCCACAUUAGAGCCAUAACGCAGUGGAAUUACGAAGUGGUUGCCAACAUGUGCUAUCCGUACGAAUGGAACAGAUGUAAGGUGAAUGGUACCGAAAACCGUUUCCCAAGUCAAGAGGCGUGCUGGAGCAUGUGCGGCAUGUAUACCACAACAAGACAGCCAGACAAAUAUCAUUGAUCCGCUCUGGACAUAGUUUAGCUUAGAAUAUAUACUAAGCACUCGCAAAGAACUGCUCUUUCAAUAAUUUCAGCUCACUGGGAAAUUUGGCCACUAGAACUGAGCAGGAAAAUUAUUCAAGCAGCGUGCGUAAUUAAACACAAACGAGCUUAAGCAA